AAAAAAAAAAAAAAGAAAAAGAAGAAGAGGAAACCAAGCAAGUUUCGCACUUCUGCCAGGAUCACGGAUGAAAGCAAACGCGCACAUGCUUACGAGGACUGUUCAUGUUUCAGGUGCUCUUUCCUUUUCAGAUCCAACACGCACGCAGAAAGGUGACUGCUGUUCUGUGGCGUGGGUCUGUCCAAACACUAUUUGUCUUCGUGUCUGUUCAGUCCCUGCGUUAAUGCUCCGUCAUGGGAUGAUGAUGAUCCCAGCUCUGUACCAUGGCGAGGAGACGGGGAGGAGGAAGGACUGAGGACAGCAAAGGAGCUGGUGGCAUUUACAGCUUGUGUCAAGCUUUGUAUAAUGUAAAUUCUGUACAAAUCCGGGGGGUUCUUUUUGGCUUUUUGGGUUGUUUUUUUUCUUUUGGUCGAAUAAAUAGAUGGAAUAAGCAGCAUUAAGAAACUGAAGACAGAAAUUUGCCAAGCCGAGGCUUCUUCCUUGCCCCCCCCCCCAGUCUGAAACCUAAUGUGCAAAAUCUAUUUAUUUCAAGCGAGGAAAUGUGUACAGUCUAAUAGACAUCCUGCGAUGUAUUUAAGCGAGUUUGCAACUGGAUUAUUAUUAUUAUUAUUUGGGUUUUUGUUUUUGUUUCAUUUUAUUAUUUUUAUGAGUUUCCUCCUUAAUGGCCGCUGUAGUAUUUGUUGGAGUGAAAAGAAACAGGUUGUGAUGGACGUGAAGGGGCAGUGAGGAGGAGGUGGAGGAGCUCCCACAGCUUUCUGGUUCCGUGACAGGUUGUUUUAAUUCACAGUGUGAAAAUAAAGGGCUUCCUUUAAAAGGGGGCAGCUAAAAUGGUUUGCAAUAAAUGAAUUAUUAUUUUUUUAUGUUCCUUAAAAAAAAAAAAAAAGAAUUUCUGCUUUGAAGAUUUAGGAUUUCUGCUUUUUUUCUUUUUUCUUUUUUUUUUUUUUUAAGCAAAUUUAUAAAUUUAGGGAUGUUUUGUGCAUAUAGAAUCCGUCACCAGUAUGUAUCUUGUUUUGAAGCAAGUGUUUUUGUUGUGGAUGUGUCAUGCUGUAUAUAUUUGUUCAUAUUUUUGUGAAUUGAAUACUAUGUACCAUUGUAUUAUAGUAACUUUUAUAAAGCAAACCAUAAAUAUACUGACUUUUCUUACA